rnacentral:rRNA from 1 species
GACGAACGCUGGCGGCGUGCUUAACACAUGCAAGUCGAACGGUAAGGCCCUUCGGGGUACACGAGUGGCGAACGGGUGAGUAACACGUGGGCGAUCUGCCCUGCACUUCGGGAUAAGCCUGGGAAACUGGGUCUAAUACCGGAUAGGACCACUGCCUGCAUGGGUGGUGGUGGAAAGCUUUUGCGGUGUGGGAUGGGCCCGCGGCCCAUCAGCUUGUUGGUGGGGUGAUGGCCUACCAAGGCGACGACGGGUAGCCGGCCUGAGAGGGUGACCGGCCACACUGGGACUGAGAUACGGCCCAGACUCCUACGGGAGGCAGCAGUGGGGAAUAUUGCACAAUGGGCGCAAGCCUGAUGCAGCGACGCCGCGUGAGGGAUGACGGCCUUCGGGUUGUAAACCUCUUUCAGCACCGACGAAGCGCAAGUGACGGUAGGUGCAGAAGAAGGACCGGCCAACUACGUGCCAGCCGCCGCUGUAA